rnacentral:rRNA from 1 species
AUUGAACGCUGGCGGCAGGACUAACACAUGCAAGUCGAGCGAGCGGCGGACGGGUGAGUAAUGUAUGGGAAACUGCAUGAUGGAGGGGGAUAACUACUGGAAACGGUAGCUAAUACCGCAUACCAUAAGAUGUGACGAGAUGGGAAUAGCUAGUAGGUGGGGUAAUGGCUCACCUAGGCGACGAUCCCUAGCUGGUCUGAGAGUAUGACCAGCCACACUGGAACUGAGACACGGUCCAGACUCCUACGGGUGGCAGCAGUGGGGAAUAUUGCACAAUGGGCGCAAGCCUGAUGCAGCCAUGCCGGGUGUAUGAAGAAGGCCUUCGGGUUGUAAAGUACUUUCAGCGAUGAGGCGUUACUCGCAGAAGAAGCACCGGCUAACUCCGUGCCAGCCGCCGCGGUAAUAC